UCUUGUUUGUUGGAAUCUCUUAUCUUUUCUAAGAAUUUCUCCUGUUUCGGAGUAAGAACUGAUGCAUGAUAUGGUUCUUGUUCCUUUCUUUUCUUUUUUAUUUUUCCGGGAUAAUGACACAAACGGUCCCUGAACUUUGGUCCAAUGUGCAAUUUGGUCCCUGAACUUUUAAAUUGUUCAAUGUAAUCUCUAAACUUUAACCUAAGGUUCAAUUUGGUCCCUGAACUUUUAAUCUGUUCAAUGCGGUCCCUGGAUUUUUGGUACAUGAUUAAGUUAGUCCCUAAACUAUAUGAAAAUGUUCAAUGUAGUCCCUGAACUCGAAUUAAUGGAAGGACUACAUUGAACAUUUUCAUAUAGUUCAGGGACUAAAUUGAAUAUGUAAUAAAAGUUCAAGGAUCACAUUGAAUUAAUUAAAAGUUCAGGGAUCACAUUGAAUAAAUUAAAAGUUCAGGGACCAAAUUGAAUAUUAGACUAAAGUUCAUGGACUAUAUUGAACAAAUUAAAAGUUCAGGGAUCAAAUUGCACAUUGGGCCAAAGUUCAGGGAUUGUUUGUGUCAUUUUCCCUAAUUUUUCCUAGAUUGGUAUGGGAAGUGUAUCUCCAUCUUCCCCGUCCCAUUUUCAUUAUGAAAUCUUUAUAUGUAGGACUUUCUGGAAUUAUGUCUGGAGUGGGUGGUCCUGGAAUUAUGUCCAGAGUGGGGUGAGAAUAUUUGUCAAUAAGCUAGAUUCCUCAAAGUACUAAUUGGAAAAAUCUCGAAAUCGCAUUGGCUUUGUUGAGCUGAUAAUAUUUCUGCGGAAUUCGCUCGACAGGUGGCAUAGCUGCAAAUUUUUCCUGUUGUUUUCUCUUUUGGCCGAAAGAUUUCCCUUUGUGCGCUCCUUGUGUGUGCACUUUCUUGAUCCUUCAAUAAAGUUUUUCAGUUAUAGAGGCAUGUUGCGGGUAGGCCGUGCAUCAUUGCCGUGCCUUGAGCUGAGCCGCCCGAAUCAAGCAUCUAGUUCUAGGUGCUAUCUGUACCAUAUCGUAUUUGUAGUGGUCCAAGUGGGGAACUUUUAUCUUUCCAGGUUUGGUGCUAUUUGUCUCCUUUGAGGUAGCUACUGGCACUGAUUUUUUGUUCUUUCUUUGGGCUCGCAAACUCAUACCAGGAGCAAACACCGGUUGAACCAGGACAAAUUGCAUCGCCGUCAUGCACAUCUUCCUCUCUACUUAACUUUUCAGAUUUUUCGUUUGGUAGCUCAAGCUCGGUGGUUUCCUGCGUGAUUUGCGAUGGAGAUGUCCAGAGGUGGAGCUAAUCUCGGCAGUACACGUGCAGGGGGACCCUAAAAAGAGAUCGGAGCAGGUUACGGAAAAAUUUCAUCUGCGUGCACUCCCAGUUUCAGAAAAGUAUCCUGGAGUUGGAGAUACUUAAUAGCCUUGUGAUGAAUCCCACCUCUGCAUCUCUUAAUCGGCUGAGUGUGCAGUCACUGUCGUAUAUCAUCUUGAAUGACUCGGCCCGUUUUUGUCGUCGUGUCUGAUGUCUGCUUUUGGAUACACUUAAAUCGCAGACCAUUUUUUAACCAUCCACUUGGGUCCUUACGCCCCCGAGCAUCCUUUUGAUAUAAGCAAAAUCUCGGUUUGAGAUGGUCCACACAGGAAUUGGAAUCGCUUGUGGGGGUGUAAGGAAUCCAGUUGUUGCUUACACGCUUCUGAAUCUGUUCCUCCAUUUCAAUGGCGUCGACGUCCCUAAUUAUUGGCGGGGCCUGCUUGUUUAACCUUAACAAUCAUCUCGCUCGCGACCCUUUUAUUAUAUAUUGGAGCCCGACAUCGGCGAAAGGGAUGCUCGCUGCUUGUUCGGUGCGCGAUCGCGGGCAUUAUUUUAGAGCCGAAAUGUUCGAUAUGGUCCGGGACGAAUGAGAUCAUCGGGUUGUGGAAUCCGAUUGUAACUCCUGCUAAGGGUUUUUUUUUUACGCAGUGGAAGCUCGGGAUGGUGACAUUGACAUAUGUUGUUGUUGUUGUUGUUGUUAUUGUUGAUCUUUAUAGUGACUGAAGCCGUGUGUUUGAGACAUUCCAUUUUUUAUAUCUCGAGCAGUGCUGGUGCUCGUGACAGGAUUGUCGAUUUGUUAACAAAGAAUUUCCGGGGGGAUCCCUCUCGUGCUGUCGUGCAUGAUUGGUAUUGCAAAGUGGACUUGCUUUUUCCUC